rnacentral:misc_RNA from 1 species
AAACUGCGAUAAGCAAUGCGAAACACAGUCCUUCGUGAGUCAUCGGGUUCUUGAACGCACAUUGCAGGUCUUCGGACCUACGUCUGGUUGAGGGUCAUUAUUACUCUGCUCUAAGCAGGAAGCGGACAGGCUUACGGCUUGUCUUGGAAGCAAAGGUGACUUGUACCGAUACCGUUUGGUGGACAACUGGCGGGCAAAGGUAACAAGCGAGAGGCUAUAGCAGUCGCUCAUUCAUUCUUUGACCUCAACUCAGGCGAGACCACCCGCUGAACUUAA